GACGAACGCUGGCGGCGUGCUUAAUACAUGCAAGUCGAACGGUAAGGCCCUUCGGGGUACACGAGUGGCGAACGGGUGAGUAACACGUGGGUGAUCUGCCCUGCACUUCGGGAUAAGCCUGGGAAACUGGGUCUAAUACCGGAUAGGACCACUGCCUGCAUGGGGGGUGGUGGAAAGCUUUUGCGGUGUGGGGUGGGCCCGCGGCCUAUCAGCUUGUUGGUGGGGUGAUGGCCUACCAAGGCGACGACGGGUAGCCGGCCUGAGAGGGUGACCGGCCACACUGGGACUGAGAUACGGCCCAGACUCCUACGGGAGGCAGCAGUGGGGAAUAUUGCACAAUGGGCGCAAGCCUGAUGCAGCGACGCCGCGUGAGGGAUGACGGCCUUCGGGUUGUAAACCUCUUUCAGCACCGACGAAGCGCAAGUGACGGUAGGUGCAGAAGAAGGACCGGCCAACUACGUGCCAGCCGCCGCGGUAACAC
rnacentral:rRNA from 1 species